rnacentral:lncRNA from 1 species
GGUAAAUGAAGAAGAGUCAUGGUGUAAGAUGCAGUUGUAUUCAGCAGAUGGUGUAGUCAUGGGUGGAGGAUGAAGGUGCACUCAGUAGAUGGUGUAGACAGGAGUUGAUCCACAUAAAGCCUUAAAAGACUGCUCUCUUUAUCAUUCAUGGAAAGCCUAGAUUACUAGUACCUCAUAGCAUACAUAUCUGACUUUUCUCCUAGCGCAGGAAGCCCAGCACUUUCAUGAAGACCUUCCCACCUAUGUGUAUUGACUCUGGGGCAGCAGCUGAGAUGUCCACUUAGGAAUGGGUUUGCCCUCCCUACAUUUCAUUGGAGGUUAUUCACACACCAAGGUUACACUGUGUCUGUCACUCACCCCCGAAAUCUGUCACCCUCCCAUUUUCUGAACUACGCCAUGGUACCCAAAGCCUUUCCAAAUGCUGAUUGCUAUGUUAUGGACAUAAGAUAAUUAUAAACACCUCCUUCCAAGACCAGGCACGUCAUUCUGCCAACAGACUUCAACAUAUAAUUGCUCGGGGAGGCGCCACUCCCUGGGCUUGAGUCCUGGACUAUGCAAAAAUGGAGAAAAGAAGCGGAGAGUACAAAUAGGCACGGAUUCACUCUUUCUCCACUCUUGAUGAUGGAUAUGAGUGCUUCAAGUUCCCGACUUCCUGCCCACCCUAGGAUGGUAUACUGUAUUCCUGACCUAUGACCCGAAUAAAGGUUCUCCUUAAGGGGUUCUGUCGGUGCCGUUGUCACAGUAGCAGCCGUCAGUCACAGUUGCAGUCAUUUUUCUUUCCUCUGCAUUGUUCGCUGCGGUGAAUGGGCCCCUUUUCUACCGUCUUCUGUCUUAGGCAGCGAUUAUACCUAUAUUCUCCAGCAUGCUACACUACCAUAGCGUAUCAGGGUUAAAACGCAGCAUUUAAAUGCGUUGGGGGUUGUAGGGUGGAGGUGCAAUGUUUGCUUAGCACCUGGGUUUGACCCCAAGAGCUGCAAAUAAAUAAACUCAUGCAACAUGUAAUUGCAUUGAGAUUAACCUAAGUCUAGAAAUAGGAAAACCUACUCUACCUUUCAAAGAGGAAAUUUGUUCCUUCUAAUUCAAUGGUCUCAACUACUCAUUUAUUUACAUUCAUACUGACAUGAAGAGAUGAAAUCUAAGGUUAGCAAUUAUGUUUAGUCCUGGGAAUAGAAAGAUGGGAUAAAAUAAUCUUGUCUUUCAGGGAGCCCCCAGGAUUUGAGGGCAGAAACACACCCAGAAACUGUCAAGUUUCUAUGAACACACAGAGAGAAUAUUACUUCCCACCUAAAAAACCUAAAAAAUGGUAAGCUAGGAACUUCACUACUUUAGGAUAUAAUAUGAACAAUAAUUCUAUGAGGCCAGUAAUAUUCGCAGCUCAUUUUAGCCAUAAGGAAACUAGGGCACAGAAGGAUUCCUGGACUUGGAUAACGCCACCCCAUUCACAGUACAGGUGAUUUUCUUAAGAGAAGAAAGUGAUAGCUCAACAGAAAGGAAAAGAGAGAAAGGACUUUUACAAUGAAAGGGGAUGACGCAGAUGCAGAGACUAAGGCAGGGAGUCAGUCGGUGGGGGAUGAAGAGCAAAGGGGAGCACGAGGAUUUCUGACGAGAUGGCCUGGGAGGAGGUGGACUCACGUAGGUGAUAGAUGUUUAAGAGGGGUGUGUUUGCCUCUGAGAUACAGAGAGGGUCAGAGAGGCAGAGGUAUGGGCUUGGGAUACCUUGGGGAAGGAGAAGCCAAAGCAAGCAGAAUCAGUGGUGAGUUACACACACACACACACACACACACACACACACACACACACACACGUUCCCAAGAGCUCAUGGGGAAAGGAGAAUAGAAAACCUUGUGAAUUGAGGAAAGGAGGUUUUCAAGCAGCUCUGGAAGUCUGACUGGGAGCAGAAAUUAUGACAAUAUGAAGAACCCUAUGGUAAGGCCAGAUGAUGAUUUCCUGGAAGACCAAAUAGCACAGAAGCAAUGGGUCACUCAUCCUGAGCAGAGGCUGACUGCGUCCACUGUGGCACCCACGCACCUCUCUGAUCUGUUCCAUGCUUGUGCUCAAUCCCUGGGCCAAGCACUGUGCUUAGCUGGGUUCAAAUCCUGCCCCUAAAUUCAUUUGUGCAUUGCAAUUUCCCAAAGUGUAAAACACAGUUGCUAACAACACACUUGACAUAUUGAUGGAUGGAUUCCAUAAUGCCACUGGAUAGACCUAUUUAGCGACUGUGCAAUGAAUCACCCUACUAAAAUAGAACUAACUAUGUUUGGAUUCUAGACAACAUUCCAAGGCUUUAGGUCACUAUUCCAAUUUUCUAUACAUUCUGCAGCAGGGGCUAGAAGCCUUAGAAUUCAUUAAGUAAUUAAGUAGUCAAAAUACUAUGUAUGUUCAUAUGUAUAUAUGUAUGCAUGUGUGUGUGUAUAUGUGUGUGUUUGUGUGUGUAUGCCCAAUAGUGAGUGAUCUCAGAUAUUAUCUGCUUAUUAUUCUAGUAGUGCUGGGAUCUGAACCUGGGACUUUUACGUACUAGGCAAGCAAUCUCAUACCCAUCUGUGUCCCCACAUCCUGAGGUUAACUUUAAGUAGUCUGGAUAUUUUAAUAGAUGUGAGACGAAAGAUACUACUGACUUACUUAUAACCAAACACUUAUAGUUCUUAAGAAAGGGCAUAUCUGCUGUAGCCUUUCUAUACUCCAGUAAUAGCAGCCCAGAAUAAACUCCAAUAUCCAUCCACAGGAGGAAAAAAAAAAUCUAGUUCCAAGAAAUUACCUGUGCCUGACGCUAAGGCAGAGGUCAAUGCUGAUUAGCAGCACAGGUAACAGGUAAGAGGGCCACUAUCCGUCCAUCUGAUCUGUCCCUGGCCUCAGAAGAGCCUCUGUAUAGAUGGCCCUCUGACAUCACUAUCACCCCAGGCCCCAGAGAGGACACAGGGCCUCCCAGGCAGGCCCACGAAAGCCCAGCUCUCCAAUAGCACAGUUCUGAGAGCAACAGAGAAAGUGAAGCUGGAGAUGCUGGCAGAGGUGGAGAACUCAGGAAAACCUAUGGAAGUUCUUAGGUGCGAAGCUGGACCCCUCCAAAGCCCCACAUAGAUCCUUGCCGUACGUUUUAUGAUUCUCGCUGAUAAGUGGCCACAAACAAUAACCGCCUACAGGGAGAAAGGUCUAAACAAACAAAGCCAGAGCUUUACUGUAGGUCCUGGGCCAUGGAUUUUGACCAUUCUCUAAUAUAAGUGUGGGGCAUCCAACACUUGACGGCUUGUUUUAAAACCAGUGGGUUUACUGGACCAUUAAAAGCAAUGGAAUAACUUAAAAUAAUAACACUUUUGGAAUUUGGAACUCUAUGUUCUAGGACAUAGAACUUACUAUCUCUUACUAUAAAAAUGACUUCUACGGAAAGCCAUUAUGUGUUCAGCUAGUUGUGUCCCUUAAGAACGGGCAUUGUGGCUUUUCCAUCUUAUCUCAGGUAUCUUGAGCGAGGGGACAAUGGCAGAGAUGUGCAGAUGCUUAUAUGGUGGAUGAGUGAAAAACUCAGCAGUCCGCUGAUCUCCUAAUAGAACACUGCUUCUAAAAAUAUUGAAAGAAAUCCAUCCUCAAGUGUGUCCUAAGAUAGUCUCCCCUCCUGCCCACUGCAACUAUUUGAAUGUUAUUAUAUUGAUAUGUUCAUCCUGACAGCUCCCUCAUACUAUGCAGCAACUGGCUCCUCUGUCAACGUGAAACUAAACUCUUAACAGGGGAAAACCAGAGUUCCGAUGUCAUUCUGAAACAUUCUGAAAAGCUGUCUAAUGCUACAAGGUCAGGACCCUGAAGUCAGCCUCCCUGGGAUCCAUCUGCUGGCUCUGUCCUGUGACUUGGGCAAGUUCUGUUAUGAGAAUAAAAGACAAUUAAGAGUAACCUCUCUUUGGGGGCUGUUGUGAGAACUAAACAGAUCCAAUGGGAAAGUGCUAGCUAAUUUGGUCAUUACUCAUAGUCCCAAAGGAAAUUCCAUUGUUAUUUUAAAUAAUAGCCCUUUUUCUCUAGGCUUAGUGGAUACUAACGCUCACAAUGAACACCCACAGACCCGGAUUCAGAUCUGCUGAUGGGCAUUAGCGGAGGAGAGAUACUGCGAAUGGCAUGCAAGUUGAAAAGCUUAUGCAUGCUGCUUGCACAGAGAAUCCAUCCCUACUUCCUAAGCUGAUGAAGUGGUGUGAACUUUGGGAGGAUUCAUGAAAGUCUUAACAAUUUUAAAUGAUUCAUCAUUUCCCCGGUAAAAUGAACUUAAUAUUAAUUAAGGGACAAUUUGCAUCUCCACAGGAAACAACGGAAGGAUAUACCAGAUCUAGAAACUGUGGGAUGUAUCUUGCAGUUUUAGGUCCAAUGGGACAAAUUUGAAAAAAGGCCACUAGACGUCGAAGGCUAACAAAUUGUAUUCUUGUCUGCCAAGAAAACCCCUGGGGGAAAAAAGCCAAAAAAGAAGAAAGUGCAUACAAACAUACCCUUCCCUUCCCUAUAGAAAUGUGUGCUGUAAGGAAUAACACAAUCCCUAAGAAAAGCUUCAGUCAUCUAAAGGAAGACAAGGUCGCUGAGUAAUUAGACCAUGUUUGUUCCUACAAAAUAAAAUACAGCCGCUCAGAAAACUAAGUGGGUGUUCAAUC